GAAAAUGUUCUACUAACGUUCACCAGCAACAUUAACAGCGGGCUCACAGUGUUUUGCCCGAUCGAUCAAGCAAUGAAGUCUUUCAUGCCUAAGUUCAAGAACUUGACUAAGGACGGCAAGGUUUCGCUGCUUCUCUAUCAGGCGAUUCCGGUGUAUGAGUCGAUGGAGAUGUUGAAGUCGGGCAAUGGUGUAGUGAACACGCUG
rnacentral:misc_RNA from 1 species